AAUAAAAUUCUGGAUAGAUAAUUGAUGAUGACAAACUUCUAUUCGCAUGUCUUGACCAAUUCUUGUGCCAGCAGUCCCGGCAACACAAGUGAGACUAGUGUUAUUCAUCUUUAUUAGGUUUAAAGGUACCUAGACGGCAUUUUUUGCUAUAUAAAAGAAUAUUUUUGCUAGAGUUUAAUGUGGGAGGUAAAUAUUAGGACUAUUUGUGUAAAGAUGAAAUUUUUUGAUACUAAUAAAAUGUGUAAUGGCGAAGGCAACCCUCUAUGUAUAAACUGACGUUAAGGGACGAAGGCUUGGGGAGCAAAUAGGAUUAGAUACCCUAGUAGUCCAGGCAGAAAAUUAUGAAUGUUAUAGACUAAGUGAAAGCUGGUGUAUAAAUGAAAGUGCAAGCAUUCCACCUCAAGAGUAGUGUGGCAACACAGGAACUGAAAUCAUUAGGCCGUUUCUGAAACCAAUAGUGAAGUAUGUUAUUUAAUUCGGUAGUCCUCGAAAAACCUUACCACAUCUUGAAUGAUAUUUAUAUUAAUAUUACAAGCGUUGCAUGGUUGUCUAAAGCUAAUAUCGUGAGAUUUUGAUUAAAUUCAUUAAAUUGGCGUAAUCCCUUACUUUAUUUACUCAUAAAUAACUGUAGUUCACCGCUAUAUUGGAUUUCAUAACAG
rnacentral:rRNA from 1 species